rnacentral:misc_RNA from 1 species
GAUGAAGAACGUAGCGAAAUGCGAUAAGUAAUGUGAAUUGCAGAAUUCAGUGAAUCAUCGAAUCUUUGAACGCACAUUGCGCCCCUUGGUAUUCCGAGGGGCAUGCCUGUUCGAGCGUCAUUAUAACCCUCAAGCUCAGCUUGGUGUUGGGGCCUGCUGCACUGGCAGCCCUUAAAAUCAGUGGCGGCGCCAUCUGGCUCUAAGCGUAGUAAUUCUUCUCGCUAUGGAGUCCUGGCGGAUGCUUGCCAUCAACCCCCAAUUUUUCUAUGGUUGACCUCGGAUCAGGUAGGGAUACCCGCUGAACUUAAGCAUAUCAAUAAGCGGAGGA